UUUAGUACAAUGAAGGAGAAGAGUAAUAAUAAUAUCUUUUUCAGAGAUACUGUGGGUGGUGUGAACAGUAAAAGAUUUAUUAUGAAUGGAGCUCUAGAGUGCUAUAACUGUGAGUUGGGCUUUUGCCAAGAAGGGUGGAACCGCGGAAAGAAUUUUUCGUCCCUUUA
rnacentral:ncRNA from 1 species